rnacentral:ncRNA from 1 species
CUUCUUCGGGGAUGGGUGAAAUUCCCUACCGGCGGUAAAGCCCGCGAACUGAGCCUUGGCUCAGCCGACCCGGUCAGAUUCCGGGGCCGACAGUACAGUCUGGAUGAGAGAAGA